UACGGAGGGUGCAAGCGGUAUCCGGAAUCACUGGGUUUAAAGGGUGCGUAGGCGGCUUGAUAAGUCAGAGGUGAAAGCCCACGGCUCAACUGUGGAACUGCCUUUGAUACUGUCAGGCUUGAAUUGGGUUGAGGCAGGCGGAAUGUGGCAUGUAGCGGUGAAACGCUUAGAUAUGCCAGAGAACACCGAUUGCGAAGGCAGCCUGCCAAGCCUUGAUUGACGCUGAGGCACGAAAGCGUGGGGAGCGAACAUG
rnacentral:rRNA from 1 species